AUGAAGAGCAGCGAGAACGGCGCGCUUCCUGUGGUGUCUGUAGUAAGAGAAACAGAGUCCCAGUUACUGCCAGAUGUCGGAGCUAUUGUAACCUGUAAGGUCUCUAGUAUCAAUUCACGCUUUGCCAAAGUACACAUCCUAUAUGUGGGGUCCAUGCCACUUAAGAACUCUUUUCGAGGAACUAUCCGCAAGGAAGAUGUCCGAGCAACUGAAAAAGACAAGGUUGAAAUUUAUAAGAGUUUCCGCCCAGGUGACAUUGUCUUGGCCAAAGUGAUCUCCCUAGGUGAUGCACAGUCCAACUACCUGCUAACCACUGCCGAGAACGAGCUGGGAGUAGUGGUAGCCCACAGUGAGUCAGGUAUCCAGAUGGUUCCCAUCAGCUGGUGUGAGAUGCAGUGCCCUAAGACCCACACUAAAGAAUUCCGGAAAGUAGCCCGAGUACAACCUGAAUUCUUGCAGACCUAAGAAGCCACUUUUUACCCCAUGGAAGGGGGUAAGCUGUUCCUGAGUAUAACACCAAGAUGCUGCUGUCUAUUCAAACACCUGGCGUCGGCCAACAGCCUCUUCCAGAAAAAUCUGCCAGAAACUUAGGCUAUAGAUGGAACACGUUUCUGUGAACCUAUCAGUGGAUUUCAUUCUCUUGAGUAAUAAAACUUAUCUUUUCAAGGCAAAAAAAAAAAAAAAAAAAAAAAAAAA